rnacentral:lncRNA from 1 species
GUCCCACCCCCUUUUCUUAGCAACGCCUAUCGCCUUAGACGUCUGAGGUCAGCCGAGCCUCGAUUGGUUCCUCUGUCUUUCACUCUGGGAGACGUUUGAGACCCAGCGUCUCUAGAUCUCGUAUUUGAAUUUGUGGCGCUUGGUGUCCGCGAGUUGCCGAAUGAAGCUGAGCGUCUCAGUGGAACCAGGGAUCUCAGGGAGGGGAAGGUAUAAAAUUUUCAAAUGGAGGAGUAUACCUGAACCUAAUCAUGGAUGUGAUUUUAUGUAAGUAAUAUGUGAGAUACAGAUAAGCUGAUUCUAAAACUUACAAGAAUGGCAAAGAAACAAGAAGAGCUUAAACUGCAAUCAUCAACAGAGAAGCUUUCUGCAACCAAAGUGAAGACUGAAGCCUUAGGCUAUGGCAGAAGUUGGGCGCCUGAAGUACACGUGGAAAUAUGCCAACUGAACAUUGGACUACCACGUCAAGGGUCUCCUACCCCUGGGCCAUGGAUCAAUACCAGUCUGUGACCUGUUAGGAACCGGUAGCAGGAGACAAGGUCUCACUCUGUUGCCCCAGCUGGAGUGCAGAUCUCGGCUCUCGGCUCACAGCAACUUCAGCCUCCUGGGUUGAAGCUAUCUUCCCACCUCAGCCUCAUGAUUA